CCUACGGGAGGCAGCAGUGGGGAAUUUUGGACAAUGGGCGCAAGCCUGAUCCAGCGACGCCGCGUGGAGGACGAAGGUCUUCGGAUUGUAAACUCCUUUUGCAGGGGACGAAAAAAAUGACGGUACUCUGCGAAUAAGCCACGGCUAACUACGUGCCAGCAGCCGCGGUAAUACGUAGGUGGCGAGCGUUACUCGGAAUCACUAGGCGUAAAGCGCGUGUAGGCGGUAUUUUAAGUCUGUUGUGAAAUCUUAUGGAUAAACCAAAAAAUGGCGACAGAUACUGAAGUCCGAGAGUGAGGCAGGGGAAACUGGAAUUCCAGGGGUAGGGGUGAAAUGCGUAGAUAUCUGGAAGAACGCCAAAGGCGAAGGCGGGUUUCUGGGCCUUAAAUGACGCUG
rnacentral:rRNA from 1 species